rnacentral:rRNA from 1 species
GACGAACGCUGGCGGCGUGCUUAACACAUGCCAGUCGAACGGAAAGGCCCUGCUUUUGUGGGGUGCUCGAGUGGCGAACGGGUGAGUAACACGUGAGUAACCUGCCCUUGACUUUGGGAUAACUUCAGGAAACUGGGGCUAAUACCGGAUAGGAGCUCCCGCUGCAUGGAGGGGGUUGGAAAGUUUCGGCGGGUGGGGAUGGACUCGCGGCUUAUCAGCUUGUUGGUGGGGGAGUGGCUUACCAAGGCUUUGACGGGUAGCCGGCCUGGGAGGGGGACCGGGCACAUUGCGACUGAGAGACGGACCAGACGGCUACGGGGGGCAGCAGUGGGGAAUAUUGCACAAUGGGCGGGAGCGUGAUGCAGCAACGCCGGGUGCGGAAUGACGGUCUGUGGGGUGUGAACCGCUUUCGGCUAUGACGAAGCGUGAGUGACGGUAAUGGGUAAAGAAGCACCGGCUAACUACGUG